rnacentral:rRNA from 1 species
UUAAGCAUAUCAAUAAGCGGAGGAAAAGAAACCAACAGGGAUUGCCCUAGUAACGGCGAGUGAAGCGGCAAAAGCUCAAAUUUGAAAUCUGGCUUCGGCCCGAGUUGUAAUUUGUAGAGGAUGUUUCGGGCACCGCCCCGGCGUAAGUCCCUUGGAACAGGGCGUCAUAGAGGGUGAGAAUCCCGUCUGGCGUCGUGGUAGGGCCCAUGUGAAACUCCUUCGACGAGUCGAGUUGUUUGGGAAUGCAGCUCAAAAUGGGUGGUAAAUUUCAUCUAAAGCUAAAUACUGGCCAGAGACCGAUAGCGCACAAGUAGAGUGAUCGAAAGAUGAAAAGCACUUUGAAAAGAGAGUUAAACAGUAUGUGAAAUUGUUGAAAGGGAAGCGCUUACAACCAGACUUGAGCCCGUCGGUUCCCCCUCGCUUCUGCGUGGGCUACUCCGGCGGGUCCAGGCCAACAUCGGUUCGGGUGGCUGGUCAAAGGCCCCGGGAAUGUACCUCACCUUCGGGUUAGGCUUAUAGCCCGGGGUGUCAUGCGGCCUACCUGGACCGAGGAACGCGCUUCGGCUCGGAUGUUGGCGUAAUGGUUGUCAGCGACCCGUCUUGAAACACGGACCAAGGAGUCGAAGAGCUAUGCGAGUGUUUGGGUGUCAAACCCGUACGCGUAAUGAAAGUGAACGGAGGUAGGAAGCUUCGGCUGCACUAUCGACCGAUCCUGAUGUUCUCGGAUGGAUUUGAGUAAGAGCAUAACUCUCCGGACCCGAAAGAUGGUGAACUAUGCCUGAAUAGGGUGAAGCUAGAGGAAACUCUGGUGGAGGCUCGCAGCGGUUCUGACGUGCAAAUCGAUCGUCAAAUUUGGGUAUAGGGGCGAAAGACUAAUCGAACCAUCUGGUAGCUGGUUCCUGCCGAAGUUUCCCUCAGGAUAGCAGUAACGUUUUCAGUUUUAUGAGGUAAAGCGAAUGAUUAGAGGCCUUGGGGUUGAAACAACCUUAACCUAUUCUCAAACUUUAAAUAUGUAAGAAGUCCUUGUUACUUAGUUGAACGUGGACAUUUGAAUGUAUCGUUACUAGUGGGCCAUUUUUGGUAAGCAGAACUGGCGAUGCGGGAUGAACCGAACGUGAGGUUAAGGUGCCGGACUGCACGCUCAUCAGACACCACAAAAGGUGUCAAUGCAUCUAGACAGCCGGACGGUGGCCAUGGAAGUCGGAAUCCGCUUAGGAGUGUGUAACAACUCACCGGCCGAAUGCAUUGGCCCUGAAAAUGGAUGGCGCUUAAGCGUGCGACCUAUACCUCGCCGUCAGGGUUGACAUGAUGCCCUGACGAGUAGGCAGGCGUGGAGGUUUGUGACGAAGCCUUGGGGGUGACCCCGGGUCGAACAACCUCUAG